rnacentral:lncRNA from 1 species
UUGUUUAAACUACUCAGCCUGGGGUAAUUUGUUAAAGUAACCUAAACUAAGACAGCUUUUCUAAGACAGCCUCUCAAAUCAAUUUUCAGAUUCCUGAAGUGAUUAAUGAGGUCAUAUAUCCUACCAGGAAAGCUAGACCAGUCUAUGGCAAAUUCCACUGGGACAUCCCAUUCGCCACAAGGACUGAAAUGACCCACUCCGAAAGCAGCAUGUGAAGCUUUGAGCCUUUCUUCCCCCCGCCACUCUCCAGAGAACAUUAAAUCGUACUUUUCAUUCCCCUCACCAUAGGGGGAACCCCCUUAAUGAUGACAGAGAAAGAA